rnacentral:sRNA from 1 species
CUUCGGGGAUGAUCUGGGGGCAGAUGAAAUGCACAUGGCAGUCGAUCCCGCCCGCCGUGAGGAUCUUGCCGUUCCCAGAGAUCACCUCGGUGCUCGGGCCGACGACGAGGUCCGGGUGCACACCGUGCAUCGUGUCCGGAUUGCCGGCUUUGCCCAGGGCGGCAAUACGCCCGUCCCGGAUGCCGACGUCGGCUUUGACCACUCCCCACCAGUCCAACACCACCGCGCCGGUGAUGACCGUGUCCGGGGCGCCUUCGGCUCGGGUGGCGCGCCCUUGCCCCAUCGACUCGCGCAAG